AGUGAACGCUGGCGGUAGGCCUAACACAUGCAAGUCGAACGGCAGCACAGUAAGAGCUUGCUCUUACGGGUGGCGAGUGGCGGACGGGUGAGGAAUACAUCGGAAUCUACUUUUUCGUGGGGGAUAACGUAGGGAAACUUACGCUAAUACCGCAUACGACCUACGGGUGAAAGCAGGGGAUCUUCGGACCUUGCGCGAUUGAAUGAGCCGAUGUCGGAUUAGCUAGUUGGCGGGGUAAAGGCCCACCAAGGCGACGAUCCGUAGCUGGUCUGAGAGGAUGAUCAGCCACACUGGAACUGAGACACUGUCCAGAGUCCUACGGAAGGCAGCGGUGGGGAAAAUUGGACAAUGGGCGCAAGCCUGAUCCAGCCAUACCGCGUGGGUGAAGAAGGCCUUCGGGUUGUAAAGCCCUUUUGUUGGGAAAGAAAAGCAGCAGGUUAAUACCCCGCUGUUCUGACGGUACCCAAAGAAUAAGCACCGGCUAACCUCGUG
rnacentral:rRNA from 1 species